UCUCCGUUGGUGAACCAGCGGAGGGAUCAUUACCGAGUUUACAACUCCCAAACCCCUAUGUGAACGUUACCAAACUGUUGCCUCGGCGGGAAAUUCAUGCCCGGGCGCGUCGCAGCCCCGGACCAAGGCGCCCGCCGGAGGACCAACCAAAACUCUUUUGUAUGUCCCUCGCGGACUUUUAUAAUUCUGAACCAUCUCGGCGCCCCUAGCGGGCGUUUCGAAAAUGAAUCAAAACUUUCAACAACGGAUCUCUUGGUUCUG
rnacentral:misc_RNA from 1 species